rnacentral:rRNA from 1 species
UACGAAGGGGGCUAGCGUUGCUCGGAUUGACUGGGCGUAAAGGGCGCGUAGGCGGUUUGCACAGUCAGGCGUGAAAUUCCUGGGCUCAACCUGGGGGCUGCGUUUGAUACGUGCGGACUUGAGUGCGGAAGAGGGUCGUGGAAUUCCCAGUGUAGAGGUGAAAUUCGUAGAUAUUGGGAAGAACACCGGUGGCGAAGGCGGCGACCUGGUCCGAUACUGACGCUGAGGCGCGAAAGCGUGGGGAGCAAACAGG